rnacentral:rRNA from 1 species
GCUAUCCUACGGGAGGCAGCAGUGAGGAAUAUUGGUCAAUGGGCGCAAGCCUGAACCAGCCAAGUCGCGUGAGGGAUGACGGUCCUAUGGAUUGUAAACCUCUUUUGUCGGGGAGCAAGGCCCGCCACGUGUGGCGGGAAGGAGAGUACCCGAAGAAAAAGCAUCGGCUAACUCCGUGCCAGCAGCCGCGGUAAUACGGAGGAUGCGAGCGUUAUCCGGAUUUAUUGGGUUUAAAGGGUGCGUGGGCGGGAGGUUAAGUCAGCGGUCAAAUGUCGGGGCUCA